rnacentral:tRNA from 1 species
AGAAACUUAGGCUAACACA